GCCGAGAUAGCUCAGUUGGUAGAGCAACGCAUUCGUAAUGCGUGGGUCAUGAGUUCGAGCCUCAUUCUCGGCUCCA
rnacentral:tRNA from 1 species